rnacentral:tRNA from 2 species
UGACCUAUGGUGUAAUGGUAGCACUUCAGAUUUUGGUUCUGUCAGUCUAGGUUCGAAUCCUGGUAGGUCAACAA